AAAACCUUUUAUUAUAUUUUAACCCAUAUUAAAUCAAAACUAGUGGUUAAAAAAACAAAUUUUAUUAAAAAUCCCACAUCAGUAGAAGAAAAAUUGAUGAUCACACUAAGAUAUUUGGGAACAGGAUGUAACUAUCCAAGUUUAGCCUAUUCAUAUAAAAUGGGAAUAUCAACAAUUCAAAAAAUAAUUAUUUCAACAUGUACUGUAAUUUUUGAAGUAUUUGAAAAUAUCCAUUUGAAACCACCAAAUUUAAUUGACUUCAAAAUAAUAUCUGAUCAAUUUGAGAAGUCUUGGAACUUUCCAAAUUGUGUUGGAGCCAUUGAUGGCAAACACAUUGAGAUGAAAAAUCCUGCUAAUUCUGGGAGUAUAUAUUACAACUAUAAACAAUAUUUCUCCAUGAUACUAAAAGCAUUGGUUGAUGGUAAAGGUGGAUUUAUAGUAAUUGCUGUAGGCAGUUAUGGCAGUGAAUCAGAUGGAGGUGUGUAUUCAAAUUCUUUGUUAUCAAAAAUGAUUGAGAAUGGAGACUUGGAUAUUCCACCACCAAAAAACCUACCAAAUACAAGUAUCAUUCUGCCACAUGUUUUUCUGGCAGAUGAUGCUUCCCCGUUAAAAUAUUAUAUUAUGAAACCUUAUAAAGGUAAGUUGACAAAUAUUUAAGAAAAUUAUAAUUAUCGCCUUUCAAGGGCCAGAAGAAUUGUGGAAUGCACCUUUGGCAUAUUGGCAUCUAAAUGGCGUAUUCUUAAUCGAGCCUUGGAUACCAAUGUCACCAAUAGUGAAACUAUUAUAAAAACUUGUGCACUAUUACACAACUUGGUUAUUGAUAAAGAAAAUAUAGAUCUCCGCCCUAAGGAUACUCAAGAUCAUAAACAAAAUAAUUAUUUCUGGAAUCCUCAAUCCAUAAAAAACCCCUCAAAAGUUUCUAAAGAUAUUAGAGAUGCAUUUUCAGAAUAUUUUUAUAGAAAUAAAUU